rnacentral:rRNA from 1 species
AAUAGAUACCCUGGUAGUCCACGCCGUAAACGGUGGGCACUAGAUGUGGGGCUCUUUCCAUGAGUUCCGCGUCGCAGCUAACGCAUUAAGUGCCCCGCCUGGGGAGUACGGCCGCAAGGCUAAAACUCAAAGGAAUUGACGGGGGCCCGCACAAGCGGCGGAGCAUGCGGAUUAAUUCGAUGCAACGCGAAGAACCUUACCAAGGCUUGACAUAUACGGUCCAUCCCUAGAGAUAGGGAGUGCUUCGGCGCCGUAUACAGGUGGUGCAUGGUUGUCGUCAGCUCGUGUCGUGAGAUGUUGGGUUAAGUCCCGCAACGAGCGCAACCCUCGUUCUAUGUUGCCAGCACGUAAUGGUGGGGACUCAUAGGAGACUGCCGGGGUCAACUCGGAGGAAGGUGGGGAUGACGUCAAAUCAUCAUGCCCCUUAUGUCUUGGGCUUCACGCAUGCUACAAUGGCCGGUACAAAGGGCUGCAAUACCGUAAGGUGGAGCGAAUCCCAAAAAGCCGGUCUCAGUUCGGA